rnacentral:rRNA from 1 species
GACGAACGCUGGCGGCGUGCUUAACACAUGCAAGUCGAACGGAAAGGCCCUGCUUUUGUGGGGUGCUCGAGUGGCGAACGGGUGAGUAACACGUGAGUAACCUGCCCUUGACUUUGGGAUAACUUCAGGAAACUGGGGCUAAUACCGGAUAGGAGCUCCUGCUGCAUGGUGGGGGUUGGAAAGUUUCGGCGGUUGGGGAUGGACUCGCGGCUUAUCAGCUUGUUGGUGGGGUAGUGGCUUACCAAGGCUUUGACGGGUAGCCGGCCUGAGAGGGUGACCGGCCACAAUGGGACUGAGAUACGGCCCAGACUCCUACGGGAGGCAGCAGUGGGGAUUAUUGCACAAUGGGCGGAAGCCUGAUGCAGCAACGCCGCGUGCUGGAUGACGGCCUUCGGGUUGUAAACCGCUUUCGCCUGUGACGAAGCGUGAGUGACGGUAAUGGGUAAAGAAGCACCGGCUAACUACGUG